UUCCAGCCUUCCUGAACUUCCGCUUAACCAAGAAACCAUCAUUUUAAAAAUCGUGGUCAAAUUCAAUCUGUUGAACCUGGAAUUUCACAUAUGACCACUGGCUCCCCUAAUAGAAUGGAAGAUGUUCACAUAACAAAAGAAAUGGUGCAAAAAACAAGCAAAGAAGGUCAAGAACUAAAGUGCCCCUGGUUUAGAAGAGCUGCAUGGAUUCUGGCUGAAGUCACUUAACAAGUUUGCAUGCAAGAUUAGCAAACCAGAUGAAUCAGGUUCUGGAAACACCAGAAAGUGAAAAAUGGUUAACAACUGGAAGAACUUUUUUGAUUCAGAAGGUUGCAGAAAAGGGAAAUAAACCUGAAAAUUACAGGCCAAUCACUUGGCUGGCAACAACUUACAAAUUACUUUCAGGCAUUAUUGCAAACCAAAUUUAUGGAUAGCUAUCUGUUUUCUAGUUAACAAUGGAUCUUGGAUUGAUAUUGACAACAUAAUAUUAAGGAUGUUAAGAAUCCAGAAAAGCUGGAUUCAGAUGUUCAGAAGAGCUUCUUAUAUGGAAAAAUAAGGAUUAAUAAUGGAUUAAUCCAAUAAAAUAAUGGAUUAAACAUAUUCUGGUCAUGCAAA